AUUGAACGCUGGCGGCAGGCCUAACACAUGCAAGUCGAGCGGAGCGGCGGACGGGCGAGUAAUGCAUAUGAAGCUGACUGGCCGGGGGGGAUAACGUCCGGCAACGGGCGCUAAUACCUCAUAUUAUCAGAUGAGCAUAGGUCGGAUUAGCUAGUUGGUGGGGUAAAGGCCUACCAAGGCGACGAUCCCUAACUGGUCUGAGAGGAUGAUCAGUCACACUGGAACUGAGACACGGUCCAGACUCCUACGGGAGGCAGCAUUGGGGAAUAUUGGACAAUGGGCGAAAGCCUGAUCCAGCCAUGCCGCGUGUGUGAAGAAGGUCUUCGGGUUGUAAAGCACUUUAAGUUGGGAGGCGUUACCAACAGAAUAAGCACCGGCUAACUUCGUGCCAGCAGCCGCGGUAAUAC
rnacentral:rRNA from 1 species